CAAUAGCGUAUAUUAAAGCUGUUGCGGUUAAGAAGCUCGUAGUUGGAUUUCUGUCAAGGACAACUGGUCCGCCCUCCGGGUGAGCACAUAGUUUGGUCUUGGCAUCUUGCUGGAAACUGUUGCUGCGCUUGGUUGUGUGGUGCAGCUUUCAGCACUUUCACUUUGAGGAAAUUGGAGUGUUUCAAGCAGGCACAUGCCUUUGGACACAGUAGCAUGGAAUAAUUAGAUUGGGCUUUUGCUCCAACUUGUUGGUUCCUGGAGCUGAGGUGAGAAUCAAUGGGGAUUGUUGGGGGCAUCCGAAUUUAGCCGUCAGAGGUGAAAUUCUUGGAUCUGCUAAAGACGGACAACUGCGAAANCGNNNGCCCAGGAUGUUUUCAUNGA
rnacentral:rRNA from 1 species